AUUGAACGCUGGCGGCAUGCCUUACACAUGCAAGUCGAACGGCAGCACGGGAGCAAUCCUGGUGGCGAGUGGCGAACGGGUGAGUAAUGUAUCGGAACGUGCCCAGUCGUGGGGGAUAACGUAGCGAAAGCUACGCUAAUACCGCAUACGAUCUAUGGAUGAAAGCGGGGGAUCGCAAGACCUCGCGCGAUUGGAGCGGCCGAUAUCAGAUUAGGUAGUUGGUGGGGUAAAGGCUCACCAAGCCGACGAUCUGUAGCUGGUCUGAGAGGACGACCAGCCACACUGGGACUGAGACACGGCCCAGACUCCGACGGGAGGCAGCAGUGGGGAAUUUUGGACAAUGGGCGCAAGCCUGAUCCAGCAGUGCCGCGUGCAGGAUGAAGGCCUUCGGGUUGUAAACUGCUUUUGUACGGAACGAAACGGCGAGCUCUAAUACAGUUUGCUAAUGACGGUACCGUAAGAAUAAGCACCGGCUAACUACGUGCCAGCCGCCGCCGUAA
rnacentral:rRNA from 1 species